UUAGUCUGCUGGUUCACGCAACUGAACACAAACAUCUGCCCCGAGCUCGGGUCCAAAUCCUUGCUUCUCCCGUCUCCCGAAGCCCCCCGACUGUGAGUCUCCCAAAGAGCAGGGGACAUGUUGGGUUAAAGGGACGUGGGGGAUGAGACUGCAGGGCGAGAGAGUGGGUGCGUGCGAUGACCAAGAAGAUGGGGACUACCGGCCCGUCAAGAAACUAGAACAGAGAGAUGCUGACACCAAAGGAAGAAACGAUCCAGACAGCAUCGUCUCAUACCUGGGAAACCCAAAGUCCUUGAACGAAGAAGCAUCCCAAAUCUAACGAGGAUGAACAGAAGGGCCCGUUUGUUGCCUGUGGGAGGGCGGAAUGGCACAGCCGGGCUGGAAGUCUCUUCAGCAAUUCCCCACAAAAGUGAGAUCCUGUCACCCUGUGGGGCAGCAGCCCAGACCCUUGGUGGUUAGCUAAAUUAAACAAAAUCUUCGAACCACAUGAAACCUGAACAAAAAUGUUUGUAUCAGCUUCAUCCAAAUUGCCAAAGCUUGGUAUAUAAUGAAGGUGCCUUCAAGGGGUGAUGGUCCGGACUCUCCAGACAAUGGAAUAUUAUCGAGUGCUGAGAAGAAAUGAGCUUUCUAGUCUUGGCGACACCGAGAACUCUCGAGUGCAUACGACUAGGGGAGAGGGGACAGCAAAGCGUUUGGACAGUCCCUCUGACUGUGGGACCUUCUGGGAAAGCCAAAGCUGUGAAACGGUAGAAAGAUGAGAGGAUGGCCCGAAGGAAGAGGAAGAGCAUGAAGGAUUUGGUCCCAUCGGUGAAACCGUUCUAUGUGGGAUCAAUUUGUCCAAAGCCAUGCGAUGUACAAUUCUUAGAGUGAGGCCAAGGCAAACCACAGAGCUCAGAGGAUGACGACAAACACAAAACAAGAACUAAAAUCAAAACAGA